ACAUCAUGUGGGCGGGCGUGGGCCGUGGGAACCCGCAUAUCUGAGCGGGGGUUUGCGGAAACCGGGCCAUAGGUGAGCGGGGUCCGGGAAACCGGGCCAUAGGUGAGCGGGGGUCC
rnacentral:rRNA from 1 species